GGCCUCCAUCUUGAAAACGGAAAAUAAAAACAGCAGACCUAUGAAGGUCGAAGGGGAAGAAAAGCUGUAUCGAUUGUUGAGAUCUGGCGACUUGUUUAAAUUUCAUCAGCCUCACUUCUAUGAACUCUCAGGCCUCACGUGUACCAGCUCUCUGCUCUCCUUUGCCUUGGGACGUUCCAUCCCUGGAAGUUUCCCUGCCCACAUCUUUGUAGAGAGUCCAUUCUCCAAGCUUCAGUGUGUCAUCUGUGAGGACCGUGACCCACCUGGUACAUCGCCUCAGGGCAUUCAUUUCAGGCUCCUUCUAAAUGGCCAAGGCCAUGAGAGAAGCAGUACCUUAUAAUGGUUCCUUGUUCAAAGCACUCAAUAUUCCUAGGAUGUGGUCUCCCAGCUGACUUCAUAACUGAAUCAUCAGUAAUUAAUUUCAUUGUUCUAUUAGUCUUCUGCCAGCCUAACAAGCAUAGCAAGAAGAUAUAGCCCCACAACCACUUUAUGCACAAAGUUAGAAGCAUAAAAUCUCAUGGAAGGAGACCGAUUAUCUACAGAAGAGGUUGUCUUGCCAUUUCUCUCAUGUUAGAGGUAAACCUCAGGUUCUCCUCCUGCCUUUUGCUAAGUAUAUGUCUUGAUGACAAGCCUUCUGCUGAUGAGCUGUGUUUCUGGACCGAUCAUGGUAGAAGUCAAUUAACGUGUCCCUCACUUGGGGUUUCUCAAGGCUGCACUGAUGAGGAAACUGAAACAGAAAAUCCAGAGUAAAUUCCACCAGGCCACACAGCAAGGUCUGAUAGAGCCAGGAGAGACUUUAUGAAAUCCAGACUCUCACACUAAUGCUCUAUCAGCUAGACCUCCAUGUGAGUCUCCCCAAUGUAGGUAGGAAGUGCUUUCCC
rnacentral:lncRNA from 10 species